UACAGAGGUCUCAAGCGUUGUUCGGAUUCAUUGGGCGUAAAGGGUGCGUAGGCGGCGCGGUAAGUCGGGUGUGAAAUCUCGGAGCUUAACUCCGAAACUGCAUUCGAUACUGCCGUGCUUGAGGACUGGAGAGGAGACUGGAAUUUACGGUGUAGCGGUGAAAUGCGUAGAUAUCGUAAGGAAGACCAGUGGCGAAGGCGGCUCACUGGCCCGGUACUGACGCUGAGGCGCGAAAGCGUGGGGAGCAAACAGG
rnacentral:rRNA from 1 species